rnacentral:rRNA from 1 species
GACGUAGGGCGCGGGCGUUGUCCGGAUUUAUUGGGCGUAAAGAGCUUGUAGGCGGUUUGUCGCGUCUGCUGUGAAAUUUCGGGGCUCAACCCCGAACUUGCAGUGGGUACGGGCAGACUAGAGUGUGGUAGGGGAGACUGGAAUUCCUGGUGUAGCGGUGAAAUGCGCAGAUAUCAGGAAGAACACCCGUGGCUAAGGCGGCUCUCUAGUACGGUACUGACGCUGAGACGCGAAAGCGUGGGGAGCGAACAGG